rnacentral:misc_RNA from 1 species
GAUGAAGAACGUAGCGAAAUGCGAUAAGUAAUGUGAAUUGCAGAAUUCAGUGAAUCAUCGAAUCUUUGAACGCACCUUGCGCCCUUUGGCCAUUCCGAAGGGCAUGCCUGUUUGAGUAUCAUGAACACCUCAACUCUUCAUGGUUUUCCAUGAUGAGCUUGGACUUUGGGGGUCUUGCUGGCCUGUGGGUCGGCUCCUCUCAAAUGAAUCAGCUUGCCGGUUUUUGGUGGGCAUCACAGGUGUGAUAACUAUCUACGCUUGUGGUUUUCCACCAGGGUAACCUUCAGCAGUGGAGGUUCACUGGAGCUUACAAAUGUCUCUCCUCUGUGAGGACAGCCCUUUGAAUGUUUGAUCUCAAAUCAGGUAGGACUACCCGCUGAACUUAAGCAGAUCAAUAAGCGGAGGA